CCGUGACCUAAAACCUAAAUGAUAUUUUUAAGUAUCAACGGCAUUACCAAUUAAAAAAAAGUACGAAUCAUUAACAUUUAGAGACUGGUGACAAUAUAUGAAAAUAAUUAUUUUUUCAACAAAGAUAUAAUUAAAAAUUAUACUGUUGCUUAAUAUUUGCUGUUACUGUUAACAGGAUGUCAUGUCACCCUACCCGAACAUGCUACCAAGAGAAUUUUAAACAAUUAGGUGAAAAUGAAAAAAAUGAAGAGUGAUACAUAUAAAGUGAAAUAUUGUGCUCUAGAGAAACUAUAUAUACAGCUUGUUGUAAUUUAAUGUUAAGACGUUACUGUCCUAAUCUUUUUCUGUCCGAAAACUAAAAAAGUAUACUUUACAUUUUAUAAUGCCCCUGUUUUCAACGGAGUUGGCAAUAAAUGUUUCCAUUAUCGGUCCGUCUGUCGGUCCAUCCGUCCGUUCGCACGUCCUAUAAUUUGUUUCCGUUCUCCAACUUUAGUUUGUAUCAACCAAAUGUUAUGAGAUAUAUAUCCACAAUUUCACAAUACGUAUCACAAAAACAGAUCAAGUUCGAAUUCUGAUGGCGUCACUUUUAUUGUUCUUCAUUUAUUCCCUUAUUAACGUUAUAUGCCAAAGCGGGGGAAUAUGUGUGUCAAAUUUUGUUGCCAAGUUUUCGUUUUUUUUAUAUUUCUAAAUAGUUUUCCUUCCUAUAAAACGAAACGCACCCA
rnacentral:lncRNA from 1 species